rnacentral:rRNA from 1 species
GUGACCUCGAAUCAGGUAGA